rnacentral:snoRNA from 1 species
AGGUCAUUUCAAAGAGGAGUUUUCAGACUAAAACCAGGAGCUCUUAACACUGUGACCAAAAAUGAAGAACAAAGACGUACUCAGCACUGAGCAGUGAUGUCUUCCUGGGGAGAAAUAAAA